UACGGAGGGGGCUAGCGUUGUUCGGAAUUACUGGGCGUAAAGCGCACGUAGGCGGCUUUGUAAGUUAGAGGUGAAAGCCCAGGGCUUAACCCUGGAAUUGCCUUUAAGACUGCAUCGCUUGAAUUGUGGAGAGGUGAGUGGAAUUCCGAGUGUAGAGGUGAAAUUCGUAGAUAUUCGGAAGAACACCAGUGGCGAAGGCGACUCACUGGACACAUAUUGACGCUGAGGUGCGAAAGCGUGGGGAGCAAACAGG
rnacentral:rRNA from 1 species